GGGGGUAUAGCUCAGAAGUAGAGCAAUUGCUUAGCAUGUGCAAGGUCCUGCGUUCAAUCCCCAGUACCUCCA
rnacentral:tRNA from 1 species